rfam:Rattus norvegicus chromosome 13, whole genome shotgun sequence.
GGGGAUUUAGCUCAGUGGUAGAGCGCUUGCCUAGCAAGCGCAAGGCCCUGGGUUCGAUCCCCAGCUCCA